CAGCAGCCGCUUGCACUACCCAGCUCCCGGCACCCGUUGAAGCGACACAAGCACGCCUGGCGGUGUGUGGCGUGUGUGCGGCUGGACGUCAAUAGAUGCCGAGAGACCAGACCAAGGUGGCCCGGUGGUUACCGUCCCCACCCUUCAUGUGCAGCUCCUGGCCAGAGACACCCACUACCCCGCUUCAGUCCCUGCCUCGCGUGCUGACGUCACACCAGGACCGGUUUGAUCCCCGUGGCCCCGCACAACAAGCUGCUUUGGGGCAGCUCCGGAGAGCUCCCGGUU